UACGGAGGGUGCAAGCGUUUAAUCGGAAUUACUGGGCGUAAAGCGUGCGCAGGCGGUUUUGUAAGUCUGUCGUGAAAUCCCCGGGCUCAACCUGGGAAUUGCGAUGGAGACUGCAAGGCUAGAAUCUGGCAGAGGGGGGUAGAAUUCCACGUGUGAGCAGUGAAAUGCGUAGAGAUGUGGAGGAACACCGAUGGCGAAGGCAGCCCCCUGGGUCAAGAUUGACGCUCAUGCACGAAAGCGUGGGGAGCAAACAGG
rnacentral:rRNA from 1 species